ACUUGGAUAGCUUAUACAGAGCAUAAUAUUGAAGAUAUUAGGGAAAUAGUUAUUAUUUCCAAGUA
rnacentral:tRNA from 1 species